UCAGACAAAGAGAAUGAUAAAAUCUUAUUCUAAAGCAUUUCUCAACCGUUAGACUUAAAUGAAAAAUCUUUUAAAUGCAGGUCCCAAACAGGCUUUUAAAGCACCGACAACAGGCGUUUUAUAACAUUGAUUGAGGAUUUCCUAAACAGCUUUUCAUAUGUCACUCAACUAGUUAGUAUAUAAUGUUUCAAACAGUUUUUUAAAGAUGUUAUUGCUAAUGAAAAGCUCAUUUAUUUUCGUCUAUGUGUCUUUUUUUUAGUCGAGUCCUUUAUUGAGUAGAUCAGUUGGAAAAUAAAAUGGAUUAUAACUCCAUCUCUAAGGGCGUUAUGACUUCCUAAUAACCAGCUAAACUAACAAAACCCCGCGCUAAUAACUAAUCGGCAAACAAACGCACACUUUCCACGACAGAUUAGUGGCCUCGAAGCUGCUUAUGUUUAAAAGCCAACAACGCCAAGUACAACACCAAGAACCCUGCAAGCCUGAUGGACCAAAUAAAGGUGUUUGAAAUUCGCCAUAGGUGAAACAGGUAUUAAAUUGUGCAAUUGUUCGAUUCAGCAACACCUUUGUUAUUGAAUUUGAUCAAAGAUAAGACAGUUAUUAUGUGAAAGAAAAAUCCAUAAAAAUACAAAGUUCCAUACUUUAAAUUCUAAUUUAUCUAAAAAUAUCGGAAAAGUUCCUCAGACGAAGGAGGUCUACUCUUUCUCACAGUUUGUGUUUUGCUGGUAUACGGCAGCUGGCAAGAGACCCUUGAAGUGUGUAAUCAUGGGCCAAAUAGAAACUAGCUAAAGAGGAUCUAGUUUGUCGCUGGAAGAAGAAGAAGGGAUUGAAGCACUCGAUGACAAGGGGGGGAAUAUUUCUUUCUCUCCAAGACGCAAAUUCCUAUCUUAUAAGGUCGGGGAUAAGGCGCACCAGUAAAGGUGUCUGCUUCUCAAAAGACGGAAAUCCUAGAUCAAAAUAUUACUUAACGGGGCUCCAACUCUUCUAUUUUCUCAAAUAAAGAUAAAUAGGAAUAUACAUACACCAAAGACAAA